GUGUCAGCAGCCGCGGUAAUACGUAGGUGGCAAGCGUUGUCCGGAAUUACUGGGCGUAAAGGGUGCGUAGGCGGUCCUUUAAGUGGGAUGUGAAAUCCCUGGGCUUAACCCAGGAACUGCAUUCCAAACUGGAGGACUAGAGUGCAGGAGAGGAAAGCGGUAUUCCCAGUGUAGCGGUGAAAUGCGUAGAGAUUGGGAGGAACACCAGUAGCGAAGGCGGCUUUCUGGAAUGUAACUGACGCUGAGGCACGAAAGCGUGGGGAGCAAACAGGAUUAGAUACCCUGGUAGUCCACGCCGUAAACGAUGAGUACUAGGUGUGAGGGCGUAAGCCUUCGUGCCGUAGUUAACACAUUAAGUACUCCGCCUGGGAAGUACGAUCGCAAGAUUAAA
rnacentral:rRNA from 1 species